rnacentral:rRNA from 1 species
GACGAACGCUGGCGGCGUGCUUAACACAUGCAAGUCGAACGGAAAGGCCCUGCUUUUGUGGGGUGCUCGAGUGGCGAGCGGGUGAGUAACACGUGAGUAACCUGCCCUUGACUUUGGGAUAACUUCAGGAAACUGGGGCUAAUACCGGAUAGGAGCUCCUGCUGCAUGGUGGGGGUUGGAAAGUUUCGGCGGUUGGGGAUGGACUCGCGGCUUAUCAGCUUGUUGGUGGGGUAGUGGCUUACCAAGGCUUUGACGGGUAGCCGGCCUGAGAGGGUGACCGGCCACAUUGGGACUGAGAUACGGCCCAGACUCCUACGGGAGGCAGCAGUGGGGAAUAUUGCACAAUGGGCGGAAGCCUGAUGCAGCAACGCCGCGUGCGGGAUGACGGCCUUCGGGUUGUAAACCGCUUUCGCCUGUGACGAAGCGUGAGUGACGGUAAUGGGUAAAGAAGCACCGGCUAACUACGUGCCAGCAGCCGCGGUGAUACGUAGGGUGCGAGCGUUGUCCGGAUUUAUUGGGCGUAAAGGGCUCGUAGGUGGUUGAUCGCGUCGGAAGUGUAAUCUUGGGGCUUAACCCUGAGCGUGCUUUCGAUACGGGUUGACUUGAGGAAGGUAGGGGAGAAUGGAAUUCCUGGUGGAGCGGUGGAAUGCGCAGAUAUCAGGAGGAACACCAGUGGCGAAGGCGGUUCUCUGGGCCUUUCCUGACGCUGAGGAGCGAAAGCGUGGGGAGCGAACAGGCUUAGAUACCCUGGUAGUCCACGCUGUAAACGGUGGGUACUAGGUGUGGGGUCCAUUCCACGGGUUCCGUGCCGUAGCUAACGCUUUAAGUACCCCGCCUGGGGAGUACGGCCGCAAGGCUAAAACUCAAAGGAAUUGACGGGGCCCCGCACAAGCGGCGGAGCAUGCGGAUUAAUUCGAUGCAACGCGUAGAACCUUACCUGGGUUUGACAUGGAUCGGGAGUGCUCAGAGAUGGGUGUGCCUCUUUUGGGGUCGGUUCACAGGUGGUGCAUGGCUGUCGUCAGCUCGUGUCGUGAGAUGUUGGGUUAAGUCCCGCAACGAGCGCAACCCUUGUUCACUGUUGCCAGCACGUUAUGGUGGGGACUCAGUGGAGACCGCCGGGGUCAACUCGGAGGAAGGUGGGGAUGACGUCAAGUCAUCAUGCCCCUUAUGUCCAGGGCUUCACGCAUGCUACAAUGGCUGGUACAGAGAGUGGCGAGCCUGUGAGGGUGAGCGAAUCUCGGAAAGCCGGUCUCAGUUCGGAUUGGGGUCUGCAACUCGACCUCAUGAAGUCGGAGUCGCUAGUAAUCGCAGAUCAGCAACGCUGCGGUGAAUACGUUCCCGGG